rnacentral:rRNA from 1 species
AUGAACGCUGGCGGCGUGCCUAAUACAUGCAAGUCGAGCGAACAGACGAGGAGCUUGCUCCUCUGACGUUAGCGGCGGACGGGUGAGUAACCCGUGGAUAACCUACCUAUAAGACUGGGAUAACUUCGGGAAACCGGAGCUAAUACCGGAUAAUAUAUUGAACCGCAUGGUUCAAUAGUGAAAGACGGUUUUGCUGUCACUUAUAGAUGGAUCCGCGCCGCAUUAGCUAGUUGGUAAGGUAACGGCUUACCAAGGCAACGAUGCGUAGCCGACCUGAGAGGGUGAUCGGCCACACUGGAACUGAGACACGGUCCAGACGCCUACGGGAGGCAGCAGUAGGGAAUCUUCCGCAAUGGGCGAAAGCCUGACGGAGCAACGCCGCGUGAGUGAUGAAGGUCUUCGGAUCGUAAAACUCUGUUAUUAGGGAAGAACAAAUGUGUAAGUAACUAUGCACGUCUUGACGGUACCUAAUCAGAAAGCCACGGCUAACUACGUG